UGAGAUCAAUCAUCUUGCACUCGUUGCUCCAGGUAAUUUCGGCACUAGACAAUUUAGAUUUUAGAAUUUAGGAUGCUCAAAGCUAAAAUUACACAUACGAGUCGACAUGUUAGUGCAAAUAACCAAAGAUUAAAAUUUUAGUAUUUAUUAUAAUGGGUUACUUUGUUGGCCCGCAAACCAAACUCAUUUAACCUAUGGGCUAUAAGGAGUAAGUUGAACUAAAUUGUCUAGUUAGGCUUAUUAGUAGUCCAUUCAGGUUUGGACUAUGAGUUAAAUAAGUCAUCCACAGACCUUAACUCAUAUACCCUAGUUCUAUCCAAAGUUUAACUAGAAAUUGAAAGGUUUUAUCUUCUUCUUUUUUUUGUCAUUUU
rnacentral:lncRNA from 1 species